CAAGGCACUGAAAAUGCCUAGAUGAGUAUACCGACUCCAUAAACA
rnacentral:tRNA from 1 species